rnacentral:rRNA from 1 species
UACGAAGGGGGGCUAGCGUUGCUCGGAAUCACUGGGCGUAAAGCGCACGUAGUCGGCUUUGCAAGUCGGGUGUGAAAUCCCCGGGCUCAACCUGGGAACUGCAUCCGAGACUGCAUUGCUAGAGUAUGGGAGAGGGAAGCGGAAUUUCUGGUGUAGCAGUGAAAUGCGUAGAUAUCAGGAGGAACAUCAGUGGCGAAAGGCGGCUUCCUGGAC